AGACAUCUGUGCUAGAUGUAGGUCUGAGUGCAUCUGACAGGACCGUGACAGUAUUAUGUUCUGUGUGGGGACACGUGGAAUCACAUUGUGUGUGUGGCUUCCACAUGUUCCCGGUGUCUUGUUGCUGUCGUGGUCUUGCCAGACCUUAGUAUAGGUUCAGGUCUAUGUUCUGAGGGGCAAGGUCAUGGCAGCAUUGUGUUUAUGUGGGAAUACGUGUGUUUUCACAUCAUGUAUGUGUAACACGUGUUCCCAGUGUCUUGUCACUUUUACCCUACUCCCUUAUGUACUCGUGUCUUAAGUGAUUAAUUAUGUUCACCUGUUCCCCAUUGAUGUGCUGUCUAUAUUAUGCCCUCGUGUUCUCUGUGUGGUGUGCGUGCGUUGUUGUAUAUCCAGUGUUUAUGUACUCCGUUAUCUGUUCCUGUGAUUCUCAUGUUCUGAUUUGUGUUCCAUCACAGUGUUAUUAUUUCAUAUUCUGUUUUACCCCCACGUGGGUUUGUUUUGUUCAGUUUUAUUCAAAUACAGUUAUAUUUUCAUACAUUCCUCUGCGUUUGGGUUCUUCCUUUUGUUUCCACAAUCCGGUUAAAACCGAACGUGACAGAAACAGACAGCAAGGGUUGUCAGGUCAGAAACAGAACGACACACAAACACAAGAAACUUCACAGGCAGAUCAACAUGCAAUUUGAAGACGUGUGAUAAAAUACAGAGAUGUGAAGUCGUAUGUCUUUCCAGAUGCCCAAAUCAUUCCACCUUAAAAGAUGAGCCUGAAGAGGAGAUUUGGGAAGAUGCUUUUUCAUAAGUCGCUUUGCCAGAUCACCUGUGAUAGAAACUGGGUAUGGUGAUGGAGUCAGAUGGACGAGGGGAACGGCCUUUGUGGGUGGAGAUUUUCUGAAGAAAGAUCGAC